GUUUUUUUCUUCUCUAGCUGGCAGAGAUCGCUGAUAGUAAGGAUCACGUCUUCCCAGUGACGGAUGGAUUUGAGGCCUUGCAGGGUGUCAUUGAUUCAAUCCUAAAGAGGUCCUGUAUUGAGAUUCUGGCAGCAGAGCCCUCUAGUGUCUGUGCUGGAGAGUCCUUCCAGGUAGUGGUGAGAAGCAACGUUUUCCUCCACGCACGAAAUGUUGAUGAAGUCCUACGCAGCUUCAGAAUCAACAACGCCCUCACGAAAAGUGAGUGAAACAUGACUGAGCAAUAGUGAAGACAACACAGUCUCACUGCAUUUUCUGUUUCUGAAUGCCUGACUGUUCAAAGCUGAUCACUCAGUUCCUUUGCAACAAGAACAGCUGGA